rnacentral:lncRNA from 1 species
CCAUUGGGGAUGUCCACGUUGCAGAACGCCGGGAGGCUCGCCGCCGCGCGCUCCAAGUCCCCUCUCCGGCAGCCGGGGAACACCUCGGCCAUGGGGUGCCCGGCCUCGGUGGCGCCGAGCUCCCUGUAGAUGCCUGACAGCAUGUGAUCGAGCGCCCCGCACCUGCACCAGCCGUCGUCGACGGCGGCGAGCUGCCGGCAGCAGUCUUGCCAGACUUGCUCGUCCGCGGCGCUGGCCGCGCCACGGCCAACGCAUUGGCGCCUCACCAAUGUUCGACAUUGCGGGAGUGAGUAUGUCGGAUAGCUUAUUCCUGGCCGACAUUGCUCACCGGGGCUGUAGACUUGGUGGUGGUCCGCCAUGGUCGCCAUCGCCGCCGCGAGCACGGAGAGAACGACGAGGAGCAAUACCGAGAACACUACCUUGUUGGAAGCCAUAUUUUGCUUAGUUUGUGAAAAAUCUUAAUUAACUGUGAUAGCUAGGCUCUUCGUCUCUGGGUGGUUUUAUAUAUAGCUAUAAAGACCAAAGUGAUUCAAGAACAGAUAGAAAUUUUUUGGCUGUUCAUGAGCUAUUUAUGGAUUUGCUUGUGGUUCUGUAUGAAACAUCUAUUGUGAUUCACACGCCUAAUCUGGGGCAUCAUAUGGACAACAGAUGGUUAAAGUGGAUUGAUAUGUACUACACUCUUUAAUUAUUUGAAUUUGUUUGAUCCUUACGUGGAAGAAAAUAAAUGCUAUAUGUGGCUAUAGAAAGACUAAUUAAAGUGAUUCAACUUUGAAGAACGGCCACAAAAUUGUUUUAGCUGUUCAUGCGUGGUUAGUAUGCUCUUGGGGUUUUGCAUGACUGGCAUGAGCAAUUUGCUUGUGGUUUUGCAUGAAAUAUUUUUUGUUAUUCACGGCUAAUCUGAGCAUUAUAUAUUUUGACAAAAAGUUGGUUUAAAGUGGAUUGAUAUGGACCACACUCUUUAAUUAUUUGAACUCAUUUUCAUUCUUCCGUGUAAGAAAAGAAAUGCACACACCGUCAACAGACAUAUAGUACUAUGGGUAACAAAAUCUUUUGAUAUUUAUAUUUAUCCAAUUUGUUUAAUGACGAAAAGGAUAGUUCAAAGCAAAUUAUGUUUAUAGCUACCCGUGGCAUGAUUUUGUUGUUAUGUCAUAUCGGAAGUGGUCUUGAAGUAAUAACACCUUGAUGUAAUUUGUAAGAUCAACAAAGUUUCCUUUGUCUUCAAAGAAUGUUUGCUAAUUUGCAAAAGGAAAAAAGAGUAUUGUUAGCUUGGGGAUUGAGCUUAAUGUUUUUCCAUAAAUGUAUUUAUUCUUAAUGUCGGUUUAUCAUAUCGAUGAUGUUAGUUAUUUCAAAGUAAACAAUACUCAUUGGGAAAGACUCUGAGGGAAAAAAUUAUGCGGGAUCUUUGAUGAGGACAUCCCAGCUACACUUGACGUGAACAAGGCUGAUGGUUACGUUAUACAUCACAUGGAGAAAUUUGAAGAUGACGUAAACCAAGUUGAUGGCUUACGUCUUAGUAAGAACGAUCAAACAUAUCAUGGUCCAAUUAUGCACAGCCAUGCUAAGAAAAUACAACUAGAGGUGAACUCACUCUUUGCUCAACUUAACCCAAAUUUUAAUGAGAAUUUUAUACUACCUAAAUAUUCUACCUUUGUCUUGCUAAGGUUUACAUCGGAAGACAUCAUUACUACGCCAAGAAGGAUGGGUUAUGUUGAGGAUGACAAGAGUUACACCGAGCAGGAAUUAGCCCAUGCACUACCAGCAGCUGUCUACGCCAACAAAAAGUUGGUUUACGCUACAAAGGCUCAACAUCCAAGGCUUGUACGACCCAGCCAGUCAAGUUACGGGUUGCAUGGCAUACAUGGUUGGAAAGAGGGGCAUGUCUAGCUUCCAAUGCUUCAAACCCCAUCUCAAUAUCACUUUCCAAUAAAAAGUUAGAGCAUUUUUACUGAGGACUGCGCAGGAGCUGAAGGGCUGUGCGUGAACCCGAGAAAACUUUUUGCAUUCUCAUUUAUGUUAGCCUUGAUCACCAGAACGUGGCUUCUUAUGUUCACACCUACGCUAGGAGGAAUGUUCCUAGUAUAAAUACACUUCUAAUUCAUCCAUUAGACAACUUUUGUUCAAUUGAAAACCUCAUGUAUGAGAGAUUAUUGAAGUCUGCAUAAGUCUUACCCUUUUUGUUCUCGUGAGUUCUUUUGGGCUUGUGAGAAGGAUCCUCUUGUGUCCCCUAGUUCGUGAUUUUGGCCCUCGGGCCUCUUGUGUGGAUUAGUUCUGGAUUGUGGUUCUGUAAUUGCUCGUUUUGACGGGUCAGAGUCCAGGAAACUUCGGAUCAUUCUCACACUCACCACUUGGUCGCAUCCAACCUUGGCAGGUAUAAAGCUAGUUAUCCUCUAGCUACGAGUAGCUAGUUACCCUCUUGUGUACAAUUUAUGCCGGUGCUCUUUUGCUUCAAACCUACUACCGUGAAGAUCGGGUCACCUCUCGCGAUUGCGUUCGCAACAACCUUGGUUAUUCGCUCUUCUAGAAAUACUUCUAUUUACUGUCGGCACGAAUCUUCACGAAAGCAAUAGCUUACAUAGACAUCUUUAAUACUAUAGAGGCAUUGCAAAAAUAUCGCACAAGUGCCUUUUGAAUAAUCUCUAUAAAUGGGGAAACAUUUUAUAGAAUGUCUCCAUUCACAAUGUGAUUUUUCUAGAAGCAUUUUUAUGUGUAUAAGAGAGUGGUAAAUUUUAAAGUGCCAAAAAGAUUGAUUCUCAAACAAAGUAAAUUUGUCUCUAAAAUAAAAAAAGUUCCAAGCAAUUAUUAAAGUGCUUCUAAAAUGUGUCUCUAGGCUAUAGAACUCCUAAGUUUAGAGAUGAUUUCAAAAUCAGCUAUAGAAAAGUGCCCACGUACUUAAAGUUUUUCAUGUGCUUGGAGCAGUCAUCACCUCCUACCUCAGCUCAUGUCCCCAAAUUCUCACCUUCUCUCUUGUCUCAACUCCCCACCUCCCUUCCUUCUCCUUGGCCGGAGGCCCAAUCUCCGUCCAGAGUGCAAUCCAUGUGCAGGGGCAGCGAGCUACCCCAACUUUUCCUACUCUCUCCCACUACCUAACUCUCCUUCCAUCUAAGCUGAAGUCCCAAUGUUUGGCCAGAUGCGUAGUGACGGUGCCAACGUCAACUCAUCCAACCAUGGGGACGGCCGUCAAAUUUGUUAAGGUUUAUUUUGGUUACAAUCUGAAAAACCGUGAAGUAUUUUGGGAUUGGUGAAAAACCGAGGUCAUGCAUAAUUUCUUCCACAUACUUUAGGAAAAUAUAUCGUAAUAAGAAUUUCUAAAAGCAUUACAUAAAAAAAAACUUCCAAGAACAAAACUAAAGAAGAGAGGAACAUCCAUUCCACUUUUUUAUUUCUUAUUAGUACUAUCACAUACAUAAGAGGAGAAAAUUAUAGAUGCUACAAUUAAUUGUUGGCGAUCUCACCACCAAAUUAAAAUAGUGCAGAUUAUUAAAGAGGGCACUUUUAGGCUGCGUUCGAGCGCAGGAGAAAGAGAGAAAUAUUGUUUCGUUUUUCGCGCGCACGCUUCCCGAACUACUAAACGGUAUGUUUUUUUCAAAAAAUUUCUAUAGGAAAGUUGCUUUAAAAAAUUAUAUUAAUCCAUUUUUGAAGUUUAAAAUAGUUAAUACUUUAUUAAUUAUGUGCUAAUGGCUCACCUCGUUUUGCGUAUCUUCCCAAUCUCCUCAAUCCCCUCCUUCUCAAACACACCCUUAGUUUGCAAAAUCCGCACUCCGUCAGCAUGGAUGCCAUGCCUGCCAUCCUCUGGCCGACGCAGCCCAGCAGCGGUGCUAUUCGGUCGACAUGAGCACCAUGAAAUUCUUUUUUUUCACAAAAUGAAAUUAAAUAACAACGAAAUAUUGCUACCCAAUUGGCAAGAUGUAUUCAGAAGAACAUUGAAGUUCAUCAUUUAUUCACCAUAUGUAUAUAUGCUUCCUGACAAAUGAAAGCACUAGUUAUUUAGCAACCCCACAGAGUCAUACACACAGCUAGCUUUAGUAGCCUAGUGACCAGUUCUCGGGGUCCUAGGAUAACCUAGCCAGUAGCAGACACCACCUGUCCCAUUGGGGAUGUCCACGUUGCAGAACGCCGGGAGGCUCGCCGCCGCGCGCUCCAAGUCCCCUCUCCGGCAGCCGGGGAACACCUCGGCCAUGGGGUGCCCAACAUCGGUGGCGCCGAGCUCCCUGUAGAUGCCUCCAACCAUGUGGUUGAGCGCCGAGCACCUGCACCAGCUGUCGUCGACCGCGGCGAGCUGCCGGCAGCAGUCCUGCCGGAGUUGCUCGUCCAC